rnacentral:rRNA from 1 species
UAGAGUUUGAUCCUGGCUCAGAUUGAACGCUGGCGGCAGGCCUAACACAUGCAAGUCGAACGGUAGCACAGAGAGCUUGCUCUCGGGUGACGAGUGGCGGACGGGUGAGUAAUGUCUGGGAAACUGCCUGAUGGAGGGGGAUAACUACUGGAAACGGUAGCUAAUACCGCAUAACGUCGCAAGACCAAAGAGGGGGACCUUCGGGCCUCUUGCCAUCAGAUGUGCCCAGAUGGGAUUAGCUAGUAGGUGGGGUAACGGCUCACCUAGGCGACGAUCCCUAGCUGGUCUGAGAGGAUGACCAGCCACACUGGAACUGAGACACGGUCCAGACUCCUACGGGAGGCAGCAGUGGGGAAUAUUGCACAAUGGGCGCAAGCCUGAUGCAGCCAUGCCGCGUGUAUGAAGAAGGCCUUCGGGUUGUAAAGUACUUUCAGCGGGGAGGAAGGUGUUGCGGUUAAUAACCGCAGCAAUUGACGUUACCCGCAGAAGAAGCACCGGCUAACUCCGUGCCAGCAGCCGCGGUAAUACGGAGGGUGCAAGCGUUAAUCGGAAUUACUGGGCGUAAAGCGCACGCAGGCGGUCUGUCAAGUCGGAUGUGAAAUCCCCGGGCUCAACCUGGGAACUGCAUUCGAAACUGGCAGGCUAGAGUCUUGUAGAGGGGGGUAGAAUUCCAGGUGUAGCGGUGAAAUGCGUAGAGAUCUGGAGGAAUACCGGUGGCGAAGGCGGCCCCCUGGACAAAGACUGACGCUCAGGUGCGAAAGCGUGGGGAGCAAACAGGAUUAGAUACCCUGGUAGUCCACGCCGUAAACGAUGUCGACUUGGAGGUUGUGCCCUUGAGGCGUGGCUUCCGGAGCUAACGCGUUAAGUCGACCGCCUGGGGAGUACGGCCGCAAGGUUAAAACUCAAAUGAAUUGACGGGGGCCCGCACAAGCGGUGGAGCAUGUGGUUUAAUUCGAUGCAACGCGAAGAACCUUACCUACUCUUGACAUCCAGAGAACUUUCCAGAGAUGGAUUGGUGCCUUCGGGAACUCUGAGACAGGUGCUGCAUGGCUGUCGUCAGCUCGUGUUGUGAAAUGUUGGGUUAAGUCCCGCAACGAGCGCAACCCUUAUCCUUUGUUGCCAGCGGUCCGGCCGGGAACUCAAAGGAGACUGCCAGUGAUAAACUGGAGGAAGGUGGGGAUGACGUCAAGUCAUCAUGGCCCUUACGAGUAGGGCUACACACGUGCUACAAUGGCGCAUACAAAGAGAAGCGAACUCGCGAGAGCAAGCGGACCUCAUAAAGUGCGUCGUAGUCCGGAUUGGAGUCUGCAACUCGACUCCAUGAAGUCGGAAUCGCUAGUAAUCGUAGAUCAGAAUGCUACGGUGAAUACGUUCCCGGGCCUUGUACACACCGCCCGUCACACCAUGGGAGUGGGUUGCAAAAGAAGUAGGUAGCUUAACCUUCGGGAGGGCGCUUACCACUUUGUGAUUCAUGACUGGGGUGAAGUCGUAACAAGGUAACC